UCCUCGUUAGUAUAGUGGUGAGUAUCCCCGCCUGUCACGCGGGAGGCCAGGGUUCGAUUCCCCGAUGGGGAG
rnacentral:tRNA from 1 species